GACAAACUGCAGUCCCUCAGUCUGAAUAAAGAAUAUAUUCAUUCAAAUAAGAAGCUCAAACUCUAUGCAGCCUGUUUUUAUCUGCUGUCAUCAGAUCUUACCCUCAUCAAUACUGACAUCAUCUUCACUGACUGAUGGACCACAAUUUACCCGCUGCUGUCAGGUUCACGUCCAUAAGUGGGAAAAUUCACUGACGGCUACCAAACGGUUCAGAAAUGAAACAAAAUUUGAUGUGCAUGACAGGUGAGUGUAUGAUGUUUUCUUGUCAUGAUUCUUUUCUGAGCAUCUGGAAAACUUAUUCAGCACACAAACACAUUUAACAAACCAUUAAGGUUAUUUUCAGUUUGUAUUAUUUUCAACAUAAUGUCGUCAGAAAGAUGUUAUUUCUGUAUCUCUGUAUCAGCACUAAAAACAUAACGUUGUCCUUUGGUGUGUGUUUGGUGAUCUCUUAAAAAGCCUGAAUUCUAUCAUUCAGCUCUCAUAUAUUCAAUCAGACCUCUAUUAUUGGUGGAAGCUGUGCACUUCCUUGAGAAAGCAAUCACCAAUCAGUUGUGUUACUUUCUACAUAACAAUAGUUUAUUUGAGGAUUUUCA